rnacentral:rRNA from 1 species
GAUGAACGCUAGCUACAGGCUUAACACAUGCAAGUCGAGGGGAAACGACAUCUAAAGCUUGCUUUUGAUGGGCGUCGACCGGCGCACGGGUGAGUAACGCGUAUCCAACCUGCCCACCACUUGGGGAUAACCUUGCGAAAGUAAGACUAAUACCCAAUGAUAUCCCACGAAGACAUCUGAAUGGGAUUAAAGAUUUAUCGGUGAUGGAUGGGGAUGCGUCUGAUUAGCUUGUUGGCGGGGUAACGGCCCACCAAGGCAACGAUCAGUAGGGGUUCUGAGAGGAAGGUCCCCCACAUUGGAACUGCGACACGGUCCCAACGCCUACGGGAGGCAGCAGUGGGGAAUAUUGGUCAAUGGGCGAGAGCCUGAACCAGCCAAGUAGCGUGCAGGAAGACGGCCCUGUGGGUUGUAAACUGCUUUUAUAAGGGGAUAAAGUGGGUCACGUGUGACUUUUUGCCUGUACCUUAUGAAUAAGGACCGGCUAAUUCCGUG